rnacentral:rRNA from 1 species
UCCUGGCUCAGGAUGAACGCUGGCGGCGUGCCUAACACAUGCAAGUCGAACGAAGCACUGUCGAAUGAGGAUUCGUCUGAAUUUGGCUUUAACUUAGUGGCGGACGGGUGAGUAAUGCGUGAGCAACCUGCCCUUCAGAGGGGGACAACAGUUGGAAACGACUGCUAAUACCGCAUAAUGUAUCCGGGAGGCAUCUUCUGGAUACCAAAGGAGAAAUCCGCUGAUGGAUGGGCUCACGUCUGAUUAGCUAGUUGGUGAGGUAACGGCUCACCAAGGCUGCGAUCAGUAGCCGGACUGAGAGGUUGAACGGCCACAUUGGGACUGAGAUACGGCCCAGACUCCUACGGGAGGCAGCAGUGGGGAAUAUUGGGCAAUGGGCGAAAGCCUGACCCAGCAACGCCGCGUGAAGGAAGAAGGCCUUCGGGUUGUAAACUUCUUUUAAGAGGGACGAAGAAGUGACGGUACCUCUUGAAUAAGCCACGGCUAACUACGUG